rnacentral:rRNA from 1 species
GAUGAACGCUGGCGGCGUGCCUAAUACAUGCAAGUCGAGCGAACAGACGAGAGUGCUUGCACUCUCUGACGUUAGCGGCGGACGGGUGAGUAACACGUGGGUAACCUACCUAUAAGACUGGGAUAACUUCGGGAAACCGGAGCUAAUACCGGAUAAUAUUUAGCUUCGCAUGAAGCAAUAGUGAAAGACGGUUCUGCUGUCACUUAUAGAUGGACCCGCGGUGUAUUAGCUAGUUGGUGAGGUAACGGCUCACCAAGGCAACGAUACAUAGCCGACCUGAGAGGGUGAUCGGCCACACUGGGACUGAGACACGGCCCAGACUCCUACGGGAGGCAGCAGUAGGGAAUCUUCCGCAAUGGACGAAAGUCUGACGGAGCAAUGCCGCGUGAGUGAAGAAGGUUUUCGGAUCGUAAAACUCCGUUGUAAGGGAAGAACAAGUACGUUAGUAACUGAACGUACCUUGACGGUACCUUACCAGAAAGCCACGGCUAACUACGUG